AAGCUCGUAGUUGAAUUUCGGGUUCUACCGUUGGUCGGGCAAUAGUCUGUACUGGCGUGUAGAAUUUCUACCUUCUGGGGAACUAUCAUGUUAUUUAUUUAGCGUGGUAGGAAACCAGGACCUUUACCUUGAAAAAAAUUAGAGUGUUCAAAGCAGGCUUACGUCUGAAUACAUUAGCAUGGAAUAAUAAAAUAGGACGGUGGUCCUGUUUUGUUGGUUUCUGAAUCACCGUAAUGAUUAAUAGGGAUAGUUGGG
rnacentral:rRNA from 1 species